GGUCAGCCAGCUGGGCCGUCAGCUGGUCCACUCGGUCACACUUUGCAAGAAGAUCUUGGCGAUAAGGCCCCAUCAUGACAUUUGCCAGACGAUGACCUUCGGCCACAAGCCCUCGGAUGGCAGCCUGACCUGCACCAAGAGGAAAACACUGAAACUCACAUAGACCAGGAGAAGCCAACCACCGUGCCAUUCUGAUUUAUGGUCGAUCCCGUGCAGCAACUACCUCGUUCUCUUGCUCAGAUUCAUCUUUCUCUAAAUACAUACAACUGUGUAUUUGAGAAUUCCAACUGAAAACUGUCUACCACACUGUGAAAAGGCUGCAGACAAAAGAGCCAGCAGUGAGAAAUCAGAAGAGCCAAGAAUCUUGUCAAACUGCAUUGGCAUUUCUCCAAAUGGGAACAGAACUUCUUUUUUGUCCUUUCUGUAAAGUUCUUGGCAUGCUCGUGGCAGAGGAGACUGCUUCACAGCAAGAGAAAAGGCCCACUGCACUCAAUGAGAUCACAUUUAUUUAUGCUGUUCCUUCUUCCCUUUAAGAGGAACCAUCACUUUCCAGGAGAAAACUGCACCAGUGGGGAAGCAUGAAACAAGUAUGG